rnacentral:rRNA from 1 species
CCUACGGGUGGCAGCAGUGGGGGAUAUUGGACAAUGGGGGAAACCCUGAUCCAGCGACGCCGCGUGAGUGAAGAAGUAUUUCGGUAUGUAAAGCUCUGUCAGCAGGGAAGAAAGAAAUGACGGUACCUGACCAAGAAGCCCCGGCUAAAUACGUGCAAGCAGCCGCGGUAAUACGUAUGGAGCAAGCGUUAUCCGGAUUUACUGGGCGUAAAGGGAGCGUAGGCGGCCUGCCAAGUCGGAUGUGAAAUACCGGGGCUCAACCCCGGGGCUGCAUUGGAAACUGGCAGGCUGGAGUGCCGGAGAGGCAGGCGGAAUUCCUGGUGUAGCGGUGAAAUGCGUAGAUAUUAGGAGGAACACCAGUGGCGAAGGCGGCCUGCUGGACGGUGACUGACGCUGAGGCUCGAAAGCGUGGGGAGCAAACAGGAUUAGAUACCCUUGUAGUC